GGUUGUUCUUGGGUGAUGCAUCUCAGAAUCAGGCUCCCUCCUCUCUGGUCCAGGUGUGUCACCAGAGAACCCCA
rfam:Myotis brandtii contig276522, whole genome shotgun sequence.